rnacentral:rRNA from 1 species
UACAGAGGUCUCAAGCGUUGUUCGGAUUCAUUGGGCGUAAAGGGUGCGUAGGCGGCGCGGUAAGUCGGGUGUGAAAUCUCGGAGCUUAACUCCGAAACUGCAUUCGAUACUGCCGUGCUUGAGGACUGGAGAGGAGACUGGAAUUUACGGUGUAGCGGUGGAAUGCGCAGAUAUCAGGAGGAACACCCGUGGCGAAGGCGGCUCUCUGGGACGGUACUGACGCUGAGACGCGAAAGCGUGGGGAGCGAACAGG